rnacentral:rRNA from 1 species
AUGCACGAAAGUGUGAUAGGGGGAUACUCAGUGCUUACGCUUAUGGUGUAGGCUUUUGUCGAUCGUAAAUAGAUCGGCGAAUAAGUGGUGGGUAAGACUGGUGCCAGCCGCCGCGGUAACCCCAGCGCCACAAGUGGUUAUCACGAUUAUUGGGCCUAAAGCGUUCGUAGCUGGUUAGGUAAAUCUCUUGUGAAAUUGUUCGGCUUAACCGGACAGCGUGCAGGAGAGACUGCCCAACUCGAGACCGGGAGGCGUAUGAAGUAUUCCAUGGGGACUGGUAAAAUGGGAUAAUCCAUGGAAGACUACCGAUGGCGAAGGCAUCAUACGAGAACGGAUCUGACAGUGAGGAACGAAAGCCAGGGGAGCGAACCGGAUUAGAUACCCCGGUAGUCC